rnacentral:snRNA from 1 species
AGCUUUGCACAGUGGCAGUAUCGUAGCCAGUGAGCUUUACCCGAGGCGCGAAUAUUACUAAUUAAAUAUUUAUAAAAACCUUUCAAGCAGCACCUGAACAAGAAUAGGUUUAGAGGAGCUCUGGUAGUCUGAGUUUGGG